rnacentral:rRNA from 1 species
GUGAGUCAUCGAAUCUUUGAACGCACAUUGCACUCUCUGGUAUUCCGGAGAGUAUGCUUGUUUGAGUAUCAGUAAACACCUCAAGUCUCUUCUCUAGAGAAGAGAAUUGGACUUGAGCAAUCCCAACUCUUUGCAAAAGGAGGCGGGUUGCUUGAAAUGCAGGUGCAGCUGGACAUUCUUCUGAGCUAAAAGCAUAUUUAUUUAGUCCCGUCAAACGGAUUAUUACUUUUGCUCUAGCUAAUAUAAAGGUCGAAUGUACUAUACGCUGACUGAUGCAGGAUUACCAAGUUUUACCUAGUAAAACUUGUAAACUCGAUCUCAAAUCAAGUAAGACUACCCGCUGAACUUAA